rnacentral:lncRNA from 1 species
AGAGAAAGCUCUAUUAGCAAUUUAAAAUGACAAAUAUGGGAGGAGACAGCUCACUGUUAGUAAAUGUGGGCAUCACAAGGCACAGAAGGAUUCAAUGCCCCCACAGUCCCACCCCUGAACUUCAGAGAGGAAGGUGAAUAGAAAGACAUGAAGGUAGAAUAAUCUCGGGGCUUAAAGGAAGGAAAGCAUGCUGCAAUUGCUCUCUGUACUGAAGCAGAGAUAAAUAUUAUGUAAGCUCCUGUAUUUGUGGAUCAUGCAGAAAUAUUCUAUCUUCAAACAAAUUUGGAAAAUUCUGGUUUCCACAGAGCCGAACAGGUGGUUCUACUCCAGAACUUCUCAAAAUCUUCAGGGUGUUAAUGUUCAGCUUGCUGUCAGAAUGUUGUACAAAUGUUUCUCAAAUGUGCUUGACCAUGGAACCCUGAGACAGCACAAGUAACAUUGGUCAGGACAGUGUUUGGGAACCCCCUGUUUAACUAUUUGUGUCUAUUUUGUAUAAUCCUUCCAAGAACCGAAAAGCAUUGGAAGGAAAGAUAAAACUUUUCUGUCCCUUACAUGUCCCUCCCUCAUUUGACCUGAAGAUUUUUUUUUCCUUUUUCUUAGAAAUUACUGAGGAAACUAUUUAAUUGAGGUUUUUGCCAUGGAAGGUACUUUUACACCAACCUAAUACUUUUCUUCAUAUAGACAUCAUCUCUGAAGUGUUUUGGAAUUGUUAUUCUUCAUUUCAUUAUUAGUUGUUUUCAGAAUUUUCCUUUUUAUUUAAAAAUAAUUGAUCCAUGUUUUUACUGUAAACCAUUUUAAUCUUUAAAAAAAAUAGGCAGUGUAUGAAUUUUAAAUUAUCCAUGUUGUAUUAUUUCAUUUUCCAAUUUAGGAAGUAGACAUUCCGCACAAUUUAUGACAGAAUUGUUAAACAUUAG